CCCAGAUGAGGCAAAUAAACUAAAGGACAGAACCUUCUACCCUCAUCCCUGAAUAGAAAUUUUCAUUUUGCCAGAAAAUGUGAAAUUAAAGCAAAUUGAGUGAACUGUUUGCUAAAUUUAAGCUCUUAUCUAUCUUAGGAUCAAACUUCUGUUGGCCCUGGUCUCUACUUCUGGUUAGCCUCCUCAGACUUGGUGGAUCUUGAUUUUGACCCUACUUCUGACUCAAAAGAAUGCUUUCCAUCUCCAUUACCUAAGACACUGUUACUGACCUGGGCUUUAAUCAGGGGUGGGGGUGGGGAGGUAUGCUGGAACAAACACAAGCUGAGCUGGUUGUUAAAUUUUCAGCGUGAGCAUUUACAAAUGGGAAAUUGGCAAACACUACAAAUCAGGGCUUGAUUUAUUGUUUUGUUGAUUAUCUAACCUUUAGAAAGCAGAGAAGAAAAUGUUAAUAAUGAGCUUAAAAAUGUGUCUAGCUUGCGCCAACCUGUGUAGGCUGUUUUUGGCUGAAGCAUGCCUCUGCUCUCACAAACCAGGUUUGAGCCAGCACCAAGGUGAGCUGAUCCUUUCAAGGUGAGCUGAGGGGAGAAUGCAGUUAGGACUGGAACAAUCAAUCCAUCCUACUCCAUCUGGCUGCCAACAACCAACACCAACAGCCUGAAGAAUCAAAGGAGCAGGGCCUGGGAAUUGAGAUUCAGCCUCUCACCAGCCUGUAGCCUGAGGACUUCCAGGGACCAACCUCAGACAAAAGCGUGUGGAUUUAGAAGAUAUCUCCAAAAUGACUCCGUGGAGAUGGCCUCCACUCCAAGGAGCAGAAAGUCUCAGCACUAUUACUACAAAUCCUCCACUCUAGUUUGACUCUGAUGUUACCAAAUGGAAUGAAUCAGUUGUCCAUGGACCCUGGGUUCUCAAAGGCCCAUGAGACCAGGAGACAAACUCUGGAAGAUUCUCAUUUAGCUUUGACCACAGCUGAAGGACAGACUUUGUGCUUGUCAUCUUAAGUCCAACUUAGGAAAGUCGAGAGAGGUUUAUCACCAGAGGAUUGACCACCACAUGAAGACUACAGUAAGUACUGGCUGGGAG
rnacentral:lncRNA from 1 species